CAUAGCUGCAGUGAGUAUGGGAACCAACAGUAAGCAAUAGGCAGAAUAGUAUAGCCAGCAGGCAGCACGCUGCACUGACCAGCUUAGUUAAAGAUGCAUAAUGGAUUCAUGCCUACAAAAUAAAGGUAUAGCCACUUUAAAGAACUCAUCUUCGGGCCAUUGAUACGUAGGAUCCUACUAAUCCUCAAUUGCUACUCAGACCAAUACAAAUUUUUUAUGGAAAAACAUGGAAGCAAUGUUCCAGACCGUGGACACAAGAGGUAGCCCUAGGAAGGGCACAGAUGAUGCAGGCCCUGUGAUACACAAGAUCACCAUCCUGGGUCACCUUAUUUUAAAUGAGGACUCGACAGCAUCACUAGCAUCAUCUAUACUACCAAGCCCAACCUCUCCAUCUCACCUGUCAGGAUCAGCACUAUCUGCUCACUGAGAAACCUUUAAUCAAUGGAAAAACCAAAGACUCAGGGAAUCUGAUGAAGCAGUGGAAGUCUCCAAAGAAUCUCUUAAAUGAUAUCCCCUACUAGAGACUGACUUGAAGGAUGAAGACUGGCCUAAACUACUAAUUGGCCCUUGUUAUAACCCAGCUUAUAUACCAAGACAAUCAGAUAUUGACUUUUCUAUGUUCCUUAUCAUAUCUUACUGAAUUGAGUACGCAGAUACAUGGCAGACUGUGAAAAUAACCUCAAUUUCAUUUCUGAGAUACUUUCUGUGCCAGUAUUUUGUAAAACAGUAGCUGCUGAAUAGGCAGAAUGAGCAAUUGUAUCUUUAAAUAUUAAUAGGCCAGAAAUUGAUCAGUUACUACACUCAAUUAACUGAAUCCAUAUUCAUCUAUUAGAAAACAAUCAAUCAAUCCAUGGAUACCAUGUUCAGUCUUUACAAGAAUAGGGACAACCUGUUAGGUGUAUAGCAACAUGUAGAAAACUUAGCAUAUAACACAUAUCAUUAUCCUUUAUGGUGUACAUCAGGCUUCUCUCUCACACCACAAGUUUCUACCCUCAAGAACAUGGGAAUUGAGGUUAGUAAAACCUAUCCUGGUCAUAUUGGAACGUACAAUAGUAGGCUAUGCUUUGAAAUUUAGUAUGCAGAACUUUCAAGCCAGAUACAAAUCCUGAAAUUAUGUUCCAUUUUAUCCAUAUGUCCAAUUUAUAACCUAUGCCAGAAACAAAUUCACUAAAGGAAGGAAAUUCUUGCAGUUCCUUGUUGGACUUGCAGGAGGUUUACCUGGAGGAACGAUGGCAGUCACUUUUUUAUUAACAUACUUAAUUGUGAAAAGCUGAAUACUUUUCUAUUAAGAUCAGGAAUAAGACAAGGAAGUCCACUCUGUAUUUUUACUCACAUAGUGCUGGAAGUCCUGCUGCACCAAUCAGAUAUGAAAAAGAAAUAAAGGGCAUACACAAUGGUAAGGGAGAAGUAAAACUGUCACUAUUUGCAAAUGACAUGAUUCUAUACAUAUAGAAAAUCGUAUAGAUUUUCUAUACAAUUUUUUUGUAUAGAAUAAUUUUUUGUUCCUACAAAAAAUUAUUAGAAUAAAUGAAUUCUGUAACGUUGCAAGAUAAAAAAAUAACAUACAGAGCCCUGUUAUAUUUCUAUGCACCAAUAGCAAAGUAGAAGAAAUAGAAAUUAAGAAAACAACUUCCCUUACAAUUAUACCAAAAAAGGAUAAAAUACCUAGGAGUAAAUUUAACCAAGAAGG